GGCCUGAUGGUCUAGAGGUAUGAUUCUCGCUUUGGGUUCUGAAUUACGGUUCAUGAUAUCUUCAUUUGCGAGAGGUCCCGUGUUCAAUCCACGGUCAGGCCC